rnacentral:misc_RNA from 1 species
GGAGGAAAAUGACUGUUACAAGGAGUUGAGGAUGCAGAGCUCCUACUUGAACUUAUUGUUCAAGCAGUUUGAUGACUCCUGUCAAUUGUCACAGUUUAAAAGAUAGAAAUCUUGCUUUAAAAUCUUUGACACGAAGUGUCUAUUAUUGACAAUUGUCAUCUGGUGCAUUUCAUAUCUCUGCAAGUUUCUUCUUUGUUAGUAUC